AGUGAACGCUGGCGGUAGGCCUAACACAUGCAAGUCGAACGGCAGCACAGAGGAGCUUGCUCCUUGGGUGGCGAGUGGCGGACGGGUGAGGAAUACAUCGGAAUCUACUCUGUCGUGGGGGAUAACGCAGGGAAACUUACGCUAAUACCGCAUACGACCUACGGGUGAAAGCCGGGGAUCUUCGGACCUUGCGCGAUUGAAUGCGCCGAUGUCGGAUUAGCUAGUUGGCGGGGUAAAGGCCCACCAAGGCGACGAUCCGUAGCUGGUAUGAGAGGAUGAUCAGCCACACUGGAACUGAGACACGGUCCAGACUCCUACGGGAGGCAGCAGUGGGGAAUAUUGGACAAUGGGCGCAAGCCUGAUCCAGCCAUACCGCGUGGGUGAAGAAGGCCUUCGGGUUGUAAAGCCCUUUUGUUGGGAAAGAAAUCCAUCUGGUUAAUACCCGGGUGGGAUGACGGUACCCAAAGAAUAAGCACCGGCUAACUUCGUGCCAGCAGCCGCCGUAA
rnacentral:rRNA from 1 species